UGGAAUCUCGAAAAACUCUUGUGGAUCCGCAUCUCUCUUAUGUCUUUCCUAGUCAUAUUUAGUGCGAUAGGCAGGUGGGAGAAGCGUUCAAUUCUCCUACUGCGACACUGUGUGAGAGCACGAUGCGACAAGUGCAGUGACGAAAACGAAAACAAGAAGCAAAACGAACAGCAAAGCAAAAGCGAGAAGCAAAGGCAAGAACUACGAUAGAGCGAGAAGCAGAGCAAGAAGCAAAGCAUGCUUUGAUUCUUGUCAACAAUGUUUAAUUAUUUACUUGGAAACUUAAGGUUUUUUAUGUAAUGUGUUAAAUAAAUCGGUAAAUUUA